rnacentral:tRNA from 1 species
GCAUCAGUGGUUUAGUGGUAAAAUCCAUCGUUGCCAUCGACGGGCCCCGCGUUCGAUUCGCGGCUGAUGCA